GGCUUUGUAACUCUUACAAUGUGUUUGGCUGCUAACCAAAAUGUUGGAGGUUCAAGUCCACCCAGAGGUG
rnacentral:tRNA from 1 species